GUGGUGUUUGGUUUGUUACGUGUGGUUGGCUGCGGCGUUUGCAACAACUUCCAUGCUUUCAGACCUCUUCAGUUGUGCGGCAGGGCUUGUAUCGCCUUGAGCGUAUUGUGGGUUUUCUGUGUUGGCUACCUAAUCAACGGUAUCGGUUGGAUUGAUCAAAGUUUGAUUUCGUCUUCCGUCGCAUUCGCGGCGUGAGGUGAACCUCGAUGCGGUCUCUUUGAUCCACCUCGUCGAAGCACAUGCUUUGACGUUGUGGCCCAUUGAGCAUUGCUUGGUCUCUUGUAUACGGAACAUAUAGUGGGCAUGGAUCUAACGAUUCUCGUUUGCCCUCAUAUUAGCGUAACGCUUCUCUUACACGACUUGCUCCACGUUUUAGCUCGUACGGACGUGGUGCUAUGUCGAAGAGGAAUGCUACCUGGUUGAUCCUGCCAGUAGUCAUAUGCUUGUCUCAAAGAUUAAG
rnacentral:misc_RNA from 1 species